rnacentral:lncRNA from 10 species
CAUGCAUUGCUCAUGGUUUUGGAGGCCAGAAGUCCAAGAUCAAGGUGCUGGCAGAUUUGGCGUGUGUCUACCUGGUUCACAUAGGGCACCUUCUUGCUGUGACCUCACCUCACAAAGUGGAAGGAGCGAGGGAGCUCUCUCUGCCUCUUUUGUAAGGGCACUAAUCCCAUUCACAAGGGCUCUGCCCCCAGGAGCCCAUCACCUGCUGAAGGCCCCAUCCUCCUAAUACCAUCACCUAGGGGGUUAGGGUUCAACAGUAUAGAGGAUGCAGACAUCAGCCCUAGCGGCCACCCAGUUGGGCUCUCAGAGCUUCAGAUUCCUCCCAGGACAGCGGUGCCUGCAGGGGACCCCCUUGAUUACAGAGCUGAGGCCUGGCAAGGCCCUGUGUGCUGCUGGAGCACAGCAGGUCACCAAUAGACUGCAGCUAUCACUCUUUAAGUGCCCUUGUUACUGGUAGGGUGGGUAACAGUGCCAGUCUCCCUGGGACCAACAGGCUUCCCAGGAUAUGAGGCAUUCAGUGCUAAAACCAGGGCAGUCCCGGGAAAACCGGAUACACUGGUCACCCUGCCUGUUUCCUGGAGGCAGCCCGCCAAAGCCAACUCUGUGUUUCUCCCUCUGCAUCCAAAACCAGGAGAAAACAACAUUGACUGAGCUGCCGUAGUUGAUGCUGAUGACAGGAACAUUCUGGAACUCUAUUAAAGCAGCGCCUCCUUUGAACUGGAAAUUACAUCACUGCAUGAACCAAGGAGCACAUCUUCCUCAGAUGCACGGAGUAAGCAACAUUGUCGGAGUGGGCUUGGUGAGACUCUAAAAUACCUCCUCCCUCCUCCAGCCCCCCGCUUGGCUGGAGAUGCUGCAGAAGGUCUGGGAAGGAUGCUGAGCAUUUAGGAGUCACUGGAGUUUGGAGCUGGGACCUCUGUUCCAAUCCCAGCCCUAAUGCUCUCAACUCACAGAGUUAACUCAGGGCUGGGCACUUUCCCAUCUCAGUUUCCUUAUCUGCCCCAUGGGGAUAAUAGCACCCACCUCCCAGGGUGGCCUGAGCAUUGAAUGUGAGCUUCCUGGCACAGACCUGGCACUAGACAAGUCCACUUUAUCUCUCCCUCCUUACUGCCCUUGAUGCCGUCACCCUGCACGGUUACACAUGUGCUCAGAGCCAGCAAAAACCGCCCCUGGGUAAAAUGAUGGUGCGGGGCAGGUGGCGGGUGAGCUCAUCCUGAAACUGAAAGUCGCAUCUCACAGAAAAGCUUCCAAAUAAACAACCCUAGUCUCCUUUCUCCACCACGCCAAACAAAAUGGCUAUUUGACAAAAGACAAAAUUCUUGUGCACAGACUGAUACUUGUGGGGUUUUGUUUUCAACUGGCCAAAUAAACCAGCUGUGAAAUCGGAAAGUUCUGUGAAGCGCAGGCUGCACAGAGUUUGGGGAGAAAGUGCGCUGGUCAGAAGGGCAUCCAUUCAUUUCCCAGAACAGAGCAGGCAGGAGGAGCUACAGGCCCAUUUUAGAACUUCCACUUCUGAUUCUAGAUUUCAGGACAGCAGGUUCUGUGCGUCCAUGCCCCGGGACCAAUCACACCUCUGGUCCAGAUUUCAGAAGCCACUGAGAAUGAUGCCAGGUGCCUUCUCAGGCUCAUGAUCAUGUGGCUAAGCUUAAAAGUCUCAGGGAAUUCAAUUCCACGGGGCCCCUUUCCAGACAUAAAACAAUCCGCUUGGGCCCACAGCAUCUCUGGGGCAGGAGGGUAAAGGACUCAAGGAGGGAGUGUUUAUUCCAGAGUCACAAACAUUUAUAGCCCAUAGCUACAGAGGACACCGGCUCAGGACCACAGACCCUUUUUCUUGCUAUUUCUCCAACAUUUCAUAAGCAGCCCACCAUAUUGUGCUGAAAUUAUCUGAGGCAAAGAGCCCAGACUGAUGCCCGCCCCUAAUGUGUCAAUCCCUGAGCCAAUCUCAGCCUUUGCAGUGGGUCAUGCAAAGGAGAUUAAUAAACCUAAGUAUCGGCAUCAAUUUUGGCCGGGCGUGGUGGCUCACGCCUGUAAUCCCAGCACUUUGGGAAGCCGAGGCAGGUGGAUCAACCUGAGGCCAGGAGUUUGAGACCAGCCUGGCCAACAUGGUGAAACCCAUCUCUACUAAAAAUGCAAAAAUUAGCUGGGCGUGGUGGUGGGCACCUGUAAUCCUAGCUAUUCAGGAGGCUGAGGCACAAGAAUCGCUUGAACCCAGGAGGCAGAGGCUGCAGUGAGCCGAGAUCACACCACUGCACUCUAGCCUGGAUGACAGAGCGAGACUCGGUCUCAAAAACAAAACAAAACAAAAAACAAAGUAUCAGCAACAAUUUCAUGACAAUGAAACCAGAGCAGCAGCUGCAAAGUCAAUUUGGGGACUUGUGGAUGGCCAGGCUCACAACGCACACACUGCUCCAUGAACACUUCCUCUGGGCCUCACGACCACUCCCGGACAUCACUACUAACAUUCACUCAAUGUCAUGAAUGGGAAUCCGGGGCUGAGAGAGCAUGGGUGGCUGGCUCGAGGUUGCACAGCUGCAGGUACUGGGGCCAGAUGUAGAGGAGACUCCCAAAUUCUCUGGUCUUCUCGCCCAGUUUUCCUGCCGUUAUGGAAAUGAUCAGCCCCUGAAAUGAACUGCAUGGAUUUACUCUUCCUGGUCCAUCACCUCCCACUGGAGUGUAAGGUCCGUGGGAUCAGAACCUUGACUUUUCUGUGCCAGAAAAGUGUGUGGUCCUUAGUUGGCCCUCAAUGACAAUUUUUUUCCCAAUGGAUACCCAUUUUACAGAUAAGCAAACUGAGGCCAGGACAGCUGAGUGAUUUGCUCUAAACCACACAACUUCCAAGUGGCAUCUCAUCUUUUUCUACACUGAAACCCCUCCCUGAAUCUGACACAUGGUCCACACUGGGGAUCCCAAUAACCUCAGCCUCAGUGUCACAACGGAACUGAGAAACGUGCAGACGCGGCAUCACCUUAGCCCUGGGUGGGCGUCCAUGACAUCUUGGGCUUCAGAGGAAUCCCUAGUCACUGAGUAGAGAACCCACUUAGGUUGCUCAAGUGCCAGCUGCAAUUACACACAUGCAGCCUCUUGCUGUUGACUAAGCUAAAAUGAGUGCAAUCGCUGAAUGAUGCCAACAUGUUGUGCAGGAGUAGAAAUGAUCCGUUUCUGGCUUCUCUUAACUGACGUAACCCAACACGUAUACACUGCAGGAAACAAUGCCUGUAAACUUGGGGCGUAGCAAGCCUGGGUGAGAGAGGUAGGGACAGGGGUCGUGCAUCACGUGGAAAUGUGUAGGGCUGCCCCGUCUUACGGAUCAGCCACUUCUGGAGGGAGGCCCAGGAGCUUGUGGCUGCUGACAGCAGCUCAAAGAGCCCCGGUCACCCGGGCAGGAAGCAGAAGUGAAGCUGUGCUGUUGAGAACAGCUGGAUGGUCACAGCCGCCCUGUUACUCAAGGACUCAGAGAUGAAUUGGAGAAUGGUAUGGUUUGACUGUGUGUCCCCUCCAAACCUCAUGUUCAAAUGUGAUCACCGGUGUUGGAGGCGGGGCCAGGUGGGAGGUCUUUGGGUCCUGGGGCGGAUCCCUCCUGAAUGGCCUGGAGCCCUCCCCAUGGUAGUCAGUCAAUUCUCGCUCUGUUAGUUCACGGGGGAGCCAGGAACUACUCCUCCCCUGCUCGCUCUCACACCCCCUCUUGCCACC